ACGGAAGGCAGCAGUGAGGAAUAUUGGUCAAUGGACGAGAGUCUGAACUAGCCAAGUCGCGUGAAGGAAGAAGGUUCUAUGGAUUGUAAACUUCUUUUGCCAGAGGGUAAAGUGGCGGACGUGUCCGCUAUUGCAAGUAUCUGGUGAAUAAGCAUCGGCUAACUCCGUGCCAGCAGCCGCGGUAAUACGGAGGAUGCGAGCGUUAUCCGGAUUUAUUGGGUUUAAAGGGUGCGUAGGCGGGAUGUUAAGUCAGCGGUGAAAGCGUGUAGCUCAACUAUACCAAGCCGUUGAAACUGGCGUCCUUGAGUGUAAACGAGGUAGGCGGAAUGUGAUGUGUAGCGGUGAAAUGCUUAGAUAUGUCACAGAACCCCGAUUGCGAAGGCAGCUUACCAGCAUACAACUGACGCUGAGGCACGAAAGCGUGGGUAUCAAACAGGAUUAGAUACCCUGGUA
rnacentral:rRNA from 1 species